rnacentral:misc_RNA from 1 species
CUUCAAAUAAAUUCAUAUCCUAUUUUCCAUGUUAUGGAAAAGAAAAAGUCCGCAUUGUGGAUGGAUCCUUAUCUAGUGUUUCUGGAACAGGUUUUGUUAAAUGCACUCCUAAUAUAAAUCUCAGUGAUGUUUUACAUGUGUCUAACUUUCCUAUUAACCUUCUGUCUGUUAGUUCUAUCAUAAAAACUCUUAAAUGUAAAAUUGAAUUUUUCUCUACU